UCCUAUUGCUUUGAUUCUGGAAUUCCUAAAAGCAUCGUAACUAUUCGUCAUCUUUGGUCACUCUUUCUAAUGCCUAAAGCUCCUCUUCCACAGAUCAUUCAAGUUUGAUCAUCAUUCUUUACGGUGAAAAUUCUUAAAACCUAAUACUUCAAGAAAACAGACUCAAAUUUCUUACCUGGAUCUAAUCAAUGGCCGAGUUUUCGUCGUAUUGGUUCACGAGGUGUUACCAGAAAAGUCCAACAAGCUAUUCCUUGAUUUUAAGAGUAUGUGAACUUAUUCAUAUAUUCAAUCCCAUACCUGGCUUGAAGAGAAAUUUUGGUGGAAAAGGUUUGUAAGUUGCACUAAGCAUGAAUGUGAACUUAUAGAUCAGG